rnacentral:rRNA from 1 species
UAGGGAAUCUUCCACAAUGGACGCAAGUCUGAUGGAGCAACGCCGCGUGAGUGAAGAAGGUCUUCGGAUCGUAAAACUCUGUUGUUAGAGAAGAACAUGCGAGAGAGUAACUGUUCUUGUAUUGACGGUAUCUAACCAGAAAGCCACGGCUAACUACGUCGCAG